UACGUAGGGGGCAAGCGUUGUCCGGAAUCAUUGGGCGUAAAGGGCGUGUAGGCGGUCAUGUAAGUGGGAUGUGAAAGCCCUCGGCUCACCCGAGGAUCUGCAUCUCAAACUGCAUGGCUUGAGUAUGGGAGAGGAUGAGGGAAUUCCUGGUGUAGCGGUGAAAUGCGUAGAUAUCAGGAGGAACACCGGUGGCGAAGGCGCUCAUCUGGCCCAAUACUGACGCUGAGGCGCGAAAGCUAGGGGAGCAAACGGG
rnacentral:rRNA from 1 species